rnacentral:miRNA from 1 species
AACUAUUGGUCACUGCACAGGAC